rnacentral:rRNA from 1 species
UAGGGAAUCUUCGGCAAUGGACGAAAGUCUGACCGAGCAACGCCGCGUGAGUGAAGAAGGUUUUCGGAUCGUAAAACUCUGUUGUUAGAGAAGAACAAGGACGUUAGUAACUGAACGUCCCCUGACGGUAUCUAACCAGAAAGCCACGGCUAACUACGUGCCAGCAGCCGCGGUAAUACGUAGGUGGCAAGCGUUGUCCGGAUUUAUUGGGCGUAAAGCGAGCGCAGGCGGUUUCUUAAGUCUGAUGUGAAAGCCCCCGGCUCAACCGGGGAGGGUCAUUGGAAACUGGGGGACUUGAGUGCAGAAGAGGAGAGUGGAAUUCCAUGUGUGGCGGUGAAAUGCGUAGAUAUAUGGAGGAACGCCAGUGGCGAAGGCGGCUCUCUGGUCUGUAACUGACGCUGAGGCUCGAAAGCGUGGGGAGCAAACAGA